UUUAACUGAAGAGUUUGAUCAUGGCUCAGAUUGAACGCUGGCGGCAGGCUUAACACAUGCAAGUCGAGCGGGGGAAGGUAGCUUGCUACUGGACCUAGCGGCGGACGGGUGAGUAAUGCUUAGGAAUCUGCCUAUUAGUGGGGGGCAACAUCUCGAAAGGGAUGCUAAUACCGCAUACGUCCUACGGGAGAAAGCAGGGGAUCUUCGGACCUUGCGCUAAUAGAUGAGCCUAAGUCGGAUUAGCUAGUUGGUGGGGUAAAGGCCUACCAAGGCGACGAUCUGUAGCGGGUCUGAGAGGAUGAUCCGCCACACUGGGACUGAGACACGGCCCAG
rnacentral:rRNA from 1 species